UUCGCCCUUAGAGUUUGAUCCUGGCUCAGGACGAACGCUGGCGGCGUGCCUAACACAUGCAAGUCGAACGAAGCUGCAAGGAAAGAGACCUCGGUCAAUGGAACUGUAGACUUAGUGGCGGACGGGUGAGUAAUGCGUGAGCAACCUGGCCUUCAGAGGGGGACAACAGUUGGAAACGACUGCUAAUACCGCAUGAAGUACCUGGGGGGCAUCCCUUGGGUACCAAAGAUUUAUCGCUGAAGGAUGGGCUCACGUCUGAUUAGCUAGUUGGUGAGGUAACGGCUCACCAAGGCUGCGAUCAGUAGCCGGACUGAGAGGUUGAACGGCCACAUUGGGACUGAGAUACGGCCCAGACUCCUACGGGAGGCAGCAGUGGGGAAUAUUGGGCGAUGGGCGCAAGCCUGACCCAGCAACGCCGCGUGAAGGAAGAAGGCUUUCGGGUUGUAAACUUCUUUUAUGAGGGACGAAGGACGUGACGGUACCUCAUGAAUAAGCCACGGCUAACUACGUGCCAGCAGCCGCGGUAAUACGUAGGUGGCGAGCGUUGUCCGGAAUCACUGGGCUUAAAGCGUCUGAAGGCGGCUAAGGGGAGUGGGCAUUAAAAGACUGGUGAAACAUCAGGGCGGUGCCCAGGACCCCCUAGCUAGAGAGCCGAAGAGGCAGGCAGAAUUCCUGGUGUAGCGGUGAAAUGCGCAGAGAUCAGGAGGAAUACCAGAGGCGAAGGCGGCCUGCUGGGCGGACUCGGACGCUAAAGGACGAAAGCGUGGGGAGCGAACAGGAUUAGAUACCCUGGUAGUCCACGCUGUAAACGAUAAAUGCCAUAUUUCGGUUAAGGAAUCGGGAUAGAAGAGAAAUCGGAAGCAUUCCACCUGGGGAGUACGGUCGCAAGACUGAAACUCAAAGGAAAUUGACGGGGGCCCGCACAAGCAGUGGAGUAUGUGGAUUAAUUCGAUGCAACGCGAAGAACCUUACCAGGUCUUGACAUCUAACGUACCCGGUUGAAAGACUGGGGUGCCCUUGGGGAGCGUUAAGACAGGUGGUGCAUGGUUGUCGUCAGCUCGUGUCGUGAGAUGUUGGGUUAAGUCCCGCAACGAGCGCAACCCUUAUGUUUAGUUGCUACGCAAGAGCACUCUAAACAGACUGCCGUUGACAAAACGGAGGAAGGUGGGGAUGAUGUCAAAUCAUCAUGCCCCUUAUGACCUGGGCUUCACACGUACUACAAUGGCUGUUAACAAAGGGAAGCAAGACAGUGAUGUGGAGCAAAUCCCCAAAAGCAGUCUCAGUUCGGAUUGUAGGCUGCAACCCGCCUACAUGAAGUCGGAAUUGCUAGUAAUCGCGGAUCAGCAUGCCGCGGUGAAU
rnacentral:rRNA from 1 species